UACGGAGGGUGCAAGCGUUAUCCGGAUUCACUGGGUUUAAAGGGUGCGUAGGUGGGUUGGUAAGUCAGUGGUGAAAUCUCCAGGCUUAACUUGGAAACUGCCAUUGAUACUGACGGGCUUGAGUACAGACGAGGUUGGCGGAAUUGAUUGUGUAGCGGUGAAAUGCAUAGAUACAAUCAAGAACUCCGAUUGCGUAGGCAGCUAACUAGGCUGUAACUGACGCUGAGGCACGAAAGCGUGGGGAGCGAACAGG
rnacentral:rRNA from 1 species